CAGGGGCCAUCCAACAUUAGGAUGCAUCAUCAGCCGCUUGACUCGAUCUAGUGCUGAUUGCUUUGGCUUGAGUCAUCAGAAGGUCAACACAUUUACAGGGCAGAGGACACAUUUAGGCAGUUUUAGGGAUACAAUGUCCCUGAUUGGUCAAGACAACGCUUCACGAAUCCCUGGUGGAGUUCAGAACACAUUGGAGUGCUACAAACCCAUUAGGAAUCAUUUACGAAUCCUAAAAAUGAAUAAACGAAUUUGUUGAGAAAUAA